rnacentral:snRNA from 1 species
AUACUUACCUGGCGUAGGGGACACCGUGAUCACGAAGACGGUUCCCCCGGAGUGAGGCCCCUCCAUUGCACUGCGGUUGAGUUGACCUCUGCGAUUAUCCCUAAUGUGGAUAACUCGGACGAAUAAUUUUUGGUAGUAGGGACUGCGUAAGCGCCGUCCCCUU